UUCUUGCUGGAGGUACCUGCAUACCUGUGGCCUUCUGAACACCAAAAGGAGGUGCUUUCAAAUACACAGCCUUUAAUCUGGAGGAAAUAUAUGCCCAGUUUGUAGCCCUCAUCGCUUCUACAGUGGCUAAUGUUGCUGCUUACAGACAUCCUCAGUCCCGCUGAGAAACAUCUCAGAAAACACAACAUUUUGGAAGGACCCUGAGAAAGACUAUGACAACGUUCUGCAAGAUGUGAAAUCUGGUAGACUGCCUGCUUCCAGUGACCCAGGGACCCUCUCAGGCCUCUGGGAGAUGCUUAUUGGAUGCUGGGAUGAUGUCUUCACAAAAAGAAUUUUAAAGAUUUAACAGCUGUCUGGACCUUUCCAUCAACAAAGGUACUCUUUGUUGUAAAGGUGAAGAGGCAAGUAGCUGAAAAUGCAGCGCUCUUCCCCUUUGCCACCCUAAAUUUGUUGAACUUAAGACAUUUCAAAAUAUAGUACUGAGUUUUAUUGUAAUAUGGAUGACACAGCCAAGAUCUUUGAGUUUUUAGAACCAACAAGUGAACAGACUGCUGAAAGAUGAGAGACAUUCAUGAGGAUUCAGACCUUAUGGCAAAAACGUAACUCCAUUCUGCUGAUCAAUAAGAGGCUUUUCCAGCUUUGUCAGAUCACCUAGAAACACAUUCCUGUCUCCUGUACUAGUACUGAUCUCUGCCAACAUGCUGAAGGUGGGGAACCUACUGACCUAGAUUAUUUGGGAAAUACAACUUCUUUUUUUUCUCUUUCUCUUUAUUUUUUCCCCUAUCCUGAAGAUACCACCUGUAUUCCAUUCAUGGAGAAAAUUAACUUCUGAUAUAUAACUUUUUAACGGUGAAAUAGCACCUAUCCCAUUUAUUUAUUUUCAUUUGCAACCAAAAUAAAUCCUGGAGGAGGAACUUUCUUAACUACACUUCAGAUAGUGCAGUGUUGGCUUGUGCAUAGUGCACAGUGGCUUUCUAAAAUGGAAAGAAGCUCUGCACCUAUGAUCUGAUGCUCCCCACCUGUUUAUCAUUUAGAUGCUCAGUAUAUCUCUUUUCACUGGCUGGUUAUGUUAUCUGGUGAGAUAGAUGAAGCCCUGCCAGUGGCUACUACACUUUUUAAUAUAGAUGAAAGUAUUUCCUCAACAGUCUGCUCCACGGAUUUGUGGCCAAGGACAUAUCUCCCAAAUUGAAAACUGAAAGCUCAAAAACUGUAUGGAAAUAGCAGUGAAUGAAGAGGAAAUGAGCUGUUAACUCAUUUCUUCCACCUGAACUGCCCAGACUAGUUAGGUGUGUUGGAGGAGCUGAAUACAAGAAGAGACAGAGAUUUGAAAUGUGCAAAUACCAUGUUCUAUAAAGCAACUAUUUCCAGGUGGAGGGAUCAGUCUGCUCAGAGGCACAAGGUUCCUUUCAUGCACCUGACCCUGAAUGAUUAUUUCUCAGUGUUUUGCUUUUAUUCUGCCCACGCCACAGUUAAGCAGUGCUAAAAAUAUUCUCAGGAUUAAGAAAGUAAUGACUGUGAAAAAGAAGUUUGAACUUAAAGAGCAAAAAAAAAAAUAGGUUCUAAAACAUCAUCUUUAUGUAAUAUUGUGUCACCAAGGUGUACUGGAGAUGAAGAAGAAUAAUCAUUUGCCAAAAGAAGUGAUUAAGAGGACUGGGGCUGCUGCACAUUGUUAUGUCACACAGUGCGUGUUCCUUAGAUUUCUAUCAGCAUAUAAGAAAGCAUAUUGCAAAGAAGAGCUCUUAGCUUCUAGGAGUGAUGAAUAAAAACCUGAAAACAUAAUGUUUAAUAGCAGUGCACUGCAACCCUACAGAAAUACUUCUGCAGGGCAUUUCUCAGAGACUUUCCUGCUCCUGCAUUUCAAGUGCUCCUGAGUAGCAUCGUGGGCAUCAGAGGCAGAUGCUACACAGGAAACUAUAUUGCCUAUUCCAGAAAGUAGGAGCAAGUAUGAGGGGUUAAUUUGAGCUUUUGGUUCAUUCUUAGGUGGUAUCUUGGGAGAAGGCUUGACAAUCUUGACACCUGUAUAUAUAUUUAUUUUUAUUGGAAUGUAGACUUACAGUGGAUUUUAAGUGAUUCCAUUUGGUUUGUAAAAUGAUAUUUUGCUUACAUUGGUUCUGCUGGUUUAUUUUCAAAAUGUUGUUACAGUGAGUUCUUAAAUAUUUUAAUUAGCGGCACAUUAAAAAAAUACUGUUUUC
ensembl:lncRNA